GACGAACGCUGGCGGCGUGCUUAACACAUGCAAGUCGAACGGUAAGGCUCCAGCUUGCUGGGGUACACGAGUGGCGAACGGGUGAGUAACACGUGGGUGACCUGCCCUGCACUUCGGGAUAAGCCUGGGAAACUGGGUCUAAUACCGGAUAGGACCAUGGUGUGGAUACUGUGGUGGAAAGUUUUUUCGGUGUGGGAUGGGCCCGCGGCCUAUCAGCUUGUUGGUGGGGUAAUGGCCUACCAAGGCGGCGACGGGUAGCCGGCCUGAGAGGGUGGACGGCCACAUUGGGACUGAGACACGGCCCAGACUCCUACGGGAGGCAGCAGUGGGGAAUAUUGCACAAUGGGCGGAGGCCUGAUGCAGCGACGCCGCGUGGGGGAUGACGGCCUUCGGGUUGUAAACUCCUUUCACCAUCGACGAAGGGUUUCUGACGGUAGAUGGAGAAGAAGCACCGGCUAACUACGUG
rnacentral:rRNA from 1 species